rnacentral:lncRNA from 1 species
UUGAAAUUUGAGAAUGCCAAAGCAUAUGGGCAUUAGCUGCUAUAUUAUUGACUUGAAUUCCUUGUGUGAUUGUGUUUUAUUUAUUUCACCCGUAUAGUUGUGAUAAUUGAGGUGGUUAUGUAUUAUGUUCAUAUUGAUUGAUUGAGAUGCAUCAUCAUCCCCUCUAUUGAAAUAAUAUUGUGCACAUGAAUAGACAUGAGGCUGAGUAUAAGUUGGGCACGUGGAGAUCGUCCAUCUUGGGGAUGGUGAGAUGUUAAGAUUGUAAUUUGGGCACAUGGAGACCGUCCGUCCGAAAAUUGUUUGAUAUUAUGAUAGUGCGUUGAGAUCGUCCGCAAAGACACGUGGAGAUCGUCCGUGUCGGUAUAUGUACCUCGCGAGUCCCCCAUGGGUCAUGAACUCUCGAUGUAUUUCCGAGGAGUAUCAUGUAUAUAUGGUUGAGUGUUUAGUGGGUAUUCUGAGACAAUUCAUUACAUGGUGUUAUAUUGCAUUGCAUUUCAUCACAUCAUUUAUUUGAUGCUUAUAUGUUUUGGUUGGCAUUUGGAAAAUACUUGAUUUUGAUUACCUUUAUUGAUGAAACCUAAAUAGUGAGUGUAAUAUAUAUAUAUACUUAUAUAAUGUACGAUUUUUUUUAGAUAAACUCCCGUCAGUACUUCUUCAUUGUCGUUCAAUGAGACAUACUGGGUACACGUGGUUUCGUACUCAUACUACGCUAGCUGCACUCUUUGUGGUGCAGAUUCGAUUCCGGGUACGAGCAUAUCUCAUGGAGCAAAUUGAGUCCGGCUUGAAGUUCUUGGAGUUGUGGUGAGCUGUUUGGCUGUUCCGUGGCCCACACCUCCCUCUAUCUUUACGUAUUCUGUUAUUUAGUAUUUAGAAAGGAUAUCCCUUAAGUGAGAUUUGUUAUUUUAGUUUCAGACUUGCAUCGUAUUCUAGAAGCUCUUGUACUUAAGACACCAAUUCUUGGGGUGAUAUAUUUUAGCUUCCGCAUUUCGUACUUAUAAGGAACUCAAUGUUGGAGAUUCUUUCUAAGUGUUAGUCUGUUUUUUACUCAUUUAUUGGUUUUGUUGGGUUAAUAUGUUGGGUUGGCUUACCUAUUAGUUGGGAACAUAGGUGCCAUCACGACUUGAAAAUUUGGGUCGUGACAAAUUUGGUAUCAGAGCCCUAGAUUCAUCAGUCUCAAGAGUACAAGAGCAAUGUCUAGUAGAGUCAUGCGGAUCGGUAUGAAGACGUCCAUACCUAUCUUCGAGAGGCUAUAGGAAAUUUAGGACAUAUUCUGUUCUUUUAUUCAUUAUUGUGCACUCUUUACCUUGUAGAAAUUCUAAUCUUGAUAUCUCAUUCUCUCUCAGAUGGCAAGGAAUUGUACAUCGGCAAGUGGUGGAUAGGAUCGUAUUCCUGCGCCUGCUUGUGGGAACACUGUCCGAGGUAGAGGUAGGAGACGAGCUCGAGGUCAUUGUGGGGCCAUGUUGGAGCACCUGUGGAUGUUCAAGUACCAGUAGCUACCCAGGGUCGUGAUAGGACCGUACCUCCUAAUGCAGAGGUUAUUAAUGGGGAUGUGCAAGAUCGUGUCGAGGGGGAUGGGCCAGCUCAGGCUCAAACCAGUACUAUUGUUUCCCCAGUGCUUCAAGAUACCCUGGCUCGUAUGUUAGGGAUCCUAGAGGGGAUUGCCAGGCAGGAGCUGUGCCUGUCACUUCUGAUGGCUCACAGACCCGUGUUUGAGGUCAAAUUCCAGAUCCGAUAGUUUCUCCAGAUUCUCAGACUCCCAGGACUCAGCCAACUGCCGCUGUAGCUCCUUGUUUGGAUAGUAUGGACUUUCCAGAUAUGACAUCACAUUUGGUGAACAGACCUUCUAUGACUAUUGAUGAGCAAAAGAUGUUUGGGAGGUUCAGACUAAUGAAUCCUCCUACUUAUACUGGUUACUUAGCUGAGGAUGCAUAUGAGUUUAUAGUUAGUUGUCAUGAGAGGUUGCAUAAUCUUGGAUUAGUGGAGUCUCAUGGAGUUGACUACACAGCGUUUCAGAUGACUGGCUCAGCUAAGCAGUGGUGGAGGGAUUAUAUUAGUAGUAGGCUAGUUGGAUCUCAUCCACUAUCCUGGACUGAGUUUACUCAGGUAUUUCUAUCCAAAUUUGUUCCACGCAGUGAGAGGGAGCGCAAGAGGGCCGAGUUUUAGGGUUUGCAGCAAAAUGGAAUGUCAGUUGCAGAGUAUGAGGGUAAAUUUCAUGCCUUGGCUAGGCAUGCUUCGAUGAUACUUCCCACAGAGGCUGAGAGAGUGAGGAGGUUUGUUAAGGGGAUGAUUAUUCCAAUUCGUCUAGGAGUUUCUCAGGUUGCUGCUUCUGGUGUUCCAUUCCAGAAAGUGGUAGAUGCUGCUAAGGAGUUUGAGAUGAUUCGACGUGAGGGAUUUGAGCAGCGAGAGGGUGAUUAUUGAGGUGAUUAUGGUGGUGCUCCGCCUAGGAUUCGGGGUUACUUGGGCAGAGGUUAUCACCCUCAGUCCAGCAGACCCAUUCAUGCUGCUAUACCAGCGUCUCAGGCUGGUUACGCUGGGCAUAACUCUUCGAGCUCGGUACAUACUUCGCAGGGUUCAUCUUCUAGACCUGUAGUUCGUGGAGGGCAUUCUGGUCAUUCAGGUUCCUCUCAUCAGCCUGCGUCUCGUAGGGGUUGCUUUUAGUCUGGUGAUAUGGGACACUUUGUGAGAGGCUUCCCUAGGAUCAGAAGUGGUGGCUUACAUCAGGGUUCUCAGGCUUUGACUUCCAGGGCUGCACAACCUCUAGCUAGGGGUGGUUCUCAUUCAGGUAGAGGUGGUUCUCCUUCUUGUAGAGGUGGUGGUCGUGGAGGUUCACAAUCUGAUGGAGGUCGUUCUCACUGCUAUGCUUUUCCAGGUAGGCCAGAGGCUGAGGCUUCAGAUGCUGUUACCACAAGUAUUAUUUCGGUUUGUCAUCGAUCAGCUACUGUAUUAUUCGAUCCAAGCUUUACUUAUUCUUAUGUGUCCACAUAUUUUUCUCCUAGUCUAGAUAUAUCAUGUGAGUGUCUUGAUUUGCCGAUACGUGUCUCUACUCCUGUCGGGGAUUCUGUGGUUGUAGAUUGGGUGUAUCGAUUAUGUACCAUUACCUUGAUUGGGUACGACACUCAUGCACAUUUAAAGGUCUUAGAUAUGAUAGAUUUUGAUAUGAUUCUUGGUAUGGAUUGGUAAUCUUCUUAGCAAGCAAUUUUAAAUUGUCAUGCCAAGACCAUCACUUUAGAUAUGCCUGAAAUUCCUAUAGUAGAAUGGAGAGGUACUCUUAGCCAUCUUUCUAAGGGCGUGAUAUCAUUCCUUAAGGCUCGUUAGUUGGUACAGAGAGGAUGUUUGGCGUACUUGUCCCACAUUCGAGAUACUAGUAUUGAGACUCCUGUGCUUGAGUCUAUUCCUGUAGAGAGUGAAUUUUUCAGAAGUAUUUCCAACCGAUUUGCCACGUCUUCCAGCAGAUCGUGAUAUUGAUUUUUGUAUUUAUGUGGAGCCAGGCACUCGGCCUAUUUCCAUUCCUCCUUAUCGUAUGGCACCAGCUGAAUUGAAGGAGUUGAAGGAGCAGUUGCAGGAUUUGUUGAGCAAAGGUUUUAUUAGACCAAGUGUUUCUCCUUGGGUUGCUCUAGUGUUAUUUGUGAAGAAGAAAGAUGGAUCUAUGCGUAUGUGUAUUGACUAUCGGUAGUUGAACAAGGUAACCAUCAAAAAUAAGUAUUCGAUACCUCGUAUUGAUGAUUUAUUUGAUCAGUUGCAGGGUGCUUCAGUUUUCUCCAAAAUUGACUUGAGAUCUGGCUAUCAUCAGCUGAAGGUUAGGGCGGAUGAUAUCCCUAAGACGGCUUUUCGAACACGUUAUGGUCAUUAAGAGUUUUUGGUGAUGUCUUUCGGACUUACUAAUGCCCCAGCAGCUUUUAUGGACUUGAUGAAUGGAGUGUUCAGACCGUAUUUAGAUUCCUUUGUUAUUGUCUUCAUAGAUGAUAUAUUGAUAUACUCACGCACUAAGGAGGAAUAUGAGCAUCAUUUGAGGAUUGUUCUUGGAAUUCUAAAGGAGAAGAAGAUUUAUGCAAAGUUUUCAAAGUGUGUGUUUUGGUUUAGUUCGGUAGCAUUCUUGGAACAUGUAGUGUCAAAGGAGGGGAUCAUGGUGGAUCCUAAGAAGAUUGAGACGGUUAGAGAUUUGGUCAGGCCUACUUCAGUUACUGAGAUUCGAAGUUUCUUGGGCCUUGCAGGUUAUUAUCGACGGUUUGCUGAGGGUUUAUCAUCCAUUGCAUCUCCAUUAACUAGAUUGACACAGAAGGAGGUGACUUUUCAGUGGUCUGACGAAUGUGAGGUUAGUUUCCAAAAGCUCAAGAUUUUAUUGACUACUGCUCCGAUUUUGAUCCUACCCGUGGAGGGAGAGGGUUUUGUUGUAUAUUGUGAUGCUUCUCGGAUUGUUCUUGGUUGUGUGUUGAUGCAGAAAGGAAGGGUGAUAGCUUAUGCUUCGAGGCAGUUAAAGGUUCAUGAGAAGAACUACCCUAUUCAUGAUUUACAGUUGGCGGUUGUUGUGUUUGCAUUAAAGAUUUCGAGGCAUUAUCUUUAUGGCGUGCAUUAUGAGGUGUUCACGGAUCAUCGUAGCCUCCAAUAAAUAUUCAAUCAGAGAGAUCCAAAUUUGAGGCAGCGAAGAUGGUUGGAGUUGCUCAAGGACUACGACAUGACUAUUCUUUAUCAUCCAGGCAAGGCAAAUAUUGUAGCAGAUGCCUUGAGUCGAAAGGCGGUAAGUAUGGAAAGUCUAGCCAUGUUACAGGUCGACGAGCGUUAUUUAGCUAGGGAUGUCCAAUCCUUGGCCAAUAGCUUUGUGAGACUUGAUAUUUCAAAAUCUUGUAAGGUGUUGGCUUAUAUGGAGGCUAGGUCAUCCUUGUUGGAGCAGAUUCGGGCUCAACAGUUUGAUGAUGGUGAUUUAUGUAAGAUUAGGGACAAGGUGUUAAAAGGAGAAGCCAAGGCUGCAAUUCUUGAUAGUGAAAGAGUUUUGAGGAUUAAAGGUCGUAUCUGUGUUCCUUGUACAGGUGAUUUGACUUGAUUAAUCAUGCAGGAGGCCCAUAGUUUGAGGUAUUCUAUUAAUCCGGGGGCUACUAAGAAGUAUCGUGACUUGAAGCAACACUAUUGGUGGUGUCGUAUGAAGAGGGACAUAGUAGAUUUUGUAUCUCGAUGUUUGAAUUGUCAGCAAGUGAAGUAUGAACACCAAAAGCCUUGAGGUGUGACUUAGAGGAUGCCCAUACCUGAGUGGAAGUGGGAGCGCAUUGCUAUGGACUUUGUGGUAGGGUUGCCACGUACCUUGGGUUAGUUUGAUGCUAUAUGGGUCAUCGUGGAUCGACUGACUCAGUCUGCACACUUUGUACCAGUUUAGACUACCUAUAACUCAGAGAAGUUAGCCAAGAUCUGUAUUCAAGAGAUAGUUCGUUUGCAUGGGGUUCCUAUAUCUAUUAUUUCAUAUCGUGGCACCCAAUUUACAUCUAAUUUCUGGCAGUCAAUGCAGAAAGAGUUGGGCACUCGGGUGGAUCUUAGUACAACCUUUCACCCUCAGACUGAUGGUCAGUCUGAGCGUACUAUUCAGGUUCAUGAGGACAUGUUGCGGGCGUGUGUGAUUGACUUUGGUGGUCAGUGGGAUCUGUUCUUUCCUUUAGCGAAGUUUGCUUACAAUAAUAGUUAUCAUUCGAUCAUUCAGAUGACAUCAUUUGAGGCUUUGUAUGGUAGGAGAUGUCGAUCUCCAAUUGGCUGGUUUGAUGCAUUUGAGGUUAAACCUUGGGGUAUAGAUUUGUUGAGGGAGUCCUUGGACAAGGUCAAGUUGAUCCAAAAUAGACUUCUCAUAGCUCAGAGUAGGCAAAAGAGUUAUGCAGAUCGAAAGAGUCGUGAUUUAGAGUUUAUGGUUAGAGAGAGGGUUUUAUUGAAGGUUUCACCCAUGAAGUGUGUGAUGAGGUUUGGAAAGAAGGGCAAGUUAAGUCCAAGGUAUAUUGGUCCUUUCGAGAAUGUUGAGCGUAUUGGUAAGGUGGCGUGUCAGUUGGCUUUGCCACCUGGUUUGUCAAGUGUCCAUCCUGUAUUUCAUAUUUCAAUGCUUAAGAAGUAUCAUCACGGUGGUGAUCAUGUGAUUCAAUGGGAUUCAGUGUUACUUGAUCAGAAUUUGACUUUUGAGGAAGAGCCGAUCACCAUUUUGGAUAGGCAAAUUCGGAAGCUAAGGUCCAAGGAGAUUGCUUUAGUAAAGGUGCAGUGGAAGCAUCGUCCUGUGGAGGAGGCUACAUGGGAGAGAGAGUCAGACAUGAGGAGCAAAUAUCCUCAUCUUUUUUAGCGUUCAGGUUAGCUCUUUUCUUUUCCCGUUCGAGGACGAACGUUUGUUUAAGUUGUAGGUGAUGUAACGACCCGCUAGGUCGUUUUGAGAACUAGGACUAGUUCGACUCCUUUUGAAAAUUCAACAGGUAUUUUAAACUAUUUGAUAACUAGGAGUACUUAGUUGAUACAUAUAUCUAUAUUAUAAUUAAUAUACUUGAAUAGCAAUUUGGUCAAAUUCAUAUUUAUUUUUUUUAAUAACCCUUACCAUUUGACUAUAUAAUUAAAACAGAUUAGUUAGGUUAUUUUAGAAGAAAAAAAAUAAUAAUAAAAGUUGGAAAUUUCCUGGAGGCGAGAUGCACCAAACGGCCGCGACGAACAUUGAAUUCCUAGGUAAACUUAUCCGAAUUAAUUAACGUUUAUAUAUAAUUGUAUGGUGCAGAUGAUUUAAUUGUAGGAUAGUACUAAUGCAUAUUUUAUUAAAUUAAAAGUGACAUAGGUUGAUUGGGAUAAUGAUGAUCAAUGAUUACUUAAUCAUUGGAACAUUGAAUUUCUCAUGCAUUUAUAUUCAUAAUUCUUAAAAAUAAAAUGAAAUAGGAUACUUGGCAGUAUCCAUUUGAAGAAAAGGAAAAAAAACCGUGUUCUCGGCAUUACUGUGUUUCUUGAUUUUCUUAAUUAAUUCUUAAUUUUAUUUAUUUUAUUAAAUUAUGAUACUAGUUUUUGAUAUAUUGAGAUAGAUAAUUAAUUAUUAGGUAUAUAUUAUAUGAUUUAACAUUAAAUUUUAGGAUAUUUGGAGAGGUUAAAGAUAAGUUCUUGGCUUGAAAUUUAACAAGUACGAUAAUUUUGGCAUACAAAUUAUAUAAAGAUUUGAUGCUUGAUUAGAAGUAUGAGUGAAAAUUUUUGGGUCUAUGAUAGGCACAUAAUAAUAUGAAUGUCUACAAACUCGCUUAUUUAUGAAUAUUGCAUCAUUGGUAGAUCGUGAACAUUACGAAACUUUGCAAAAACGGAAGGAACUAUCUUGAAGAUUCGUGACACGAAUUCGGCACUUGAGGUAUGUUAAGACUUUUAGACUUGUUGAAGGACGUUUUCCUAAUUAAAGAUUUAAAAAUCAAAAUAGACAAUGGAGUAAAGGGGAAAAAAUGGUGGUCUCGUAUCAAUGGUGUGACGGGCAUUGGUAAGAGUGCCGGUGUUAUAUAAAGGAAAAUUUCUAUUAUAGAAUGUGGAUUGAAAUUUGAGAAUGCGAAAGCAUAUGGGCAUUAGCUGAUAUAUUAUUGACGUGGAUUCCUUGUGUAAUUGUGUUUUAUUUAUUUUACCCGUAUAGUUGUGAUAAUUGAGGUGGUUAUGUAUUAUGUUCAUAUUGAUUGAUUGAGAUGCAUUAUCAUCCCCUCUAUUGAAAUAAUAGUGUGCACAUGCAUAGACAUGAGACUGAGUAUAAGUUGGGCACGUGAAGAUUGUCCGUGCUGG